rnacentral:snoRNA from 1 species
ACCCGAAUUGAUAACUGGAUGGAUUGAUCGGUCUCAGUCCCUUUCUGUCUUUUAAGUAUUCGGAAGAUCGAAGAGGAUUUACACUUACACGGUGCUGAGUAGUUAUACCUACCUCACUAUCGUUUACUCUUCCUCGACAUUC